CUUACAGGUCGGUGCCGAGCUGGGUGAAGCCGGAGUUGAGGCAGCCACGGGCUAUGCGCCUCCAGAGGAGAUCGCGGCUACUGAGGAAGCGCAGGCGGCGGCAGACCUGGCCCAGGCGGCCCAAGGCCUGCGCGUCCAGCCUGAACCUCUGUGCUGAGGCAUCAGUGAAGUCAUCUACUUGCUUAUUUUCUGUUGUGCGCCCUGAAGUGUGAGGCCCAUUUGCUGCGUGGAUGCCCUAGCAGGUGUUUGGAUGUGCAGGUGUGUGCACAGGCAAAGUCCUGAGCGCAAGCACAAACAAGGAUUUGAAUACCAGGGCCUUUCAGCCUGAACCUGACACUGCCACUUUAAAACCAGAGACAUGGACAUCAAAGUUUUUCACUCCCCAGAAGGAAUGGACUAUUUUGCACCCUUCCAAAUGAUGUCUCUCAUCUCUCUGCCUUUCCUACAGCCUUCUCUCUCUCACACACACACACUUUUUCUAAUACCAUCCCUCCCUCUCUACUUUAAACCAUGGGAAAAACCUAGGAAAAGAAGCUUGCCGACUAAGGGACCGUUUCGCUGCAUUGUGUUUUCCAGCUAGACCUGAACAGACUGAAAUCAAUUCAGCUCUCUCACACUCGCUCUUUCCCUCCCUCUCCCAUGUCUUUUUUUGUUUCUCUUAGAUCGUGCUCUCUGCCUUAAGAAAACCCAGUUUAGUUAUAUCCAUCCCCAUAGCAAUCAAGUGACCAGUAGGUUUUUUAUUGCUUGUAAAAACACAGUAUCUUUUUCAUGGGAGUCAGGUUCUUUGGUUUGAAAUGCCCAGUGAGCAGUGCCAACAACCUGCAGAAUCUUUGAUCAAUUCUCACAUAUCCAUUUGAAGUAUCUUUAGUAGACUUGUCAAAAUAAAGGGUCAAAAUUAGUAUUUUAAUAUAGUGUACCAGCCUCUCUUUGUGUUAUUGGCAAGAGGCCUGAUUUAACAGAAGUUCGCAGAAAUACCUGUAUCUGACCUGAAUUGCUACGUGGUCUAAAAAAUAUACAUUAUUAAAGCUGAAGUCCAGCUGUUGCUAUAUUAAUAUCCUCUGUUUUUUAUUUGCUCUUACCUUUUGGAAGGUUUCAGUUUUCAUUCUGAAAUUUUCCAGGCUUGCUCCCAAUACCGAGGUUAUAACUGCAGGCCUGGUAAGGACCAGAGGAGAAUGCAAGAAGGUUCACUGGAAAUUUGAACAGGCGAGAUUCAGCACAGCAGAGCCAGCAGCCCAAAGAAGGCAGAAGUGUCACUUAAAUUUUGAUUGUAGCACCUGUUGACAAAGGGAUAGAAUUAAGAUGUGUGUGCAAUUGGAAUUUUAUGUCUUCCGAUCUUCACAAUAGUUAAUUACGCAGUUAGCGUUCCCUCAACAUAUUUUUUUCUUUCCCUGAGUUUUCCAGGGUCUCAGGGCCCUACAUCAACAACUCAGGUUGCUGUAAACAACAGUUUCACUGCAUUGAACAGAAUUAUGCUGCUUUAUAUCAAAACAAGGUGUCACCCAAAGAAAACACAGAAGUUAUCCACCUAGCCCAUCCAGAACUUCCAAAAUAAAGAAAACCCAGCAACGAAGACUAACCACAAAACAGAAAUGUCCAAUGAAAGCCAAACACCACCAUUGCAAAACAGUUUAAAUAAGAAAAAAAGUGUCAUGAAGUUGCAAGUUAUCACCACUGCCCAGUAGACAUGAUCCCUGGUGGUGUGCCCUAAAAAACAUAACACUCUCCCAGUCAAACUGCACUUGCAAAGUCCAACCAGCAGAUACUGGCAUGCCAAGAGCUUCUUCUCAUGCAGCCCCAGUUGACCAGAAAACAGUGAGGUCUUGAUAUGUUUUAAUGAUAGCUAAAUCAAAAACAGCACUGCAGAAACCUGCGGAACACUUACAAGGCAUUCAGUUCAGGUCAUUGCCCGGUCCCAGGGUGGGUACAUCCCAUUUAAGAACUGAAUUGUCACUUUCUGUGCUACCUGCAGCUUCCAAUGGCAGCUGGAACAAUCCUAAAUACAAGCCGUGGCACUAAAACCUGCCUUCCAGACUGACAAACUCAGAGUCAGUUGCCUGUCUGUCACUGCCCGCCGAGAAUCUGGGAAAGUCAAGCAGAACUGCUGGGUGCUCAACUCCACUGGAAACAUCAUUUUAUUUAGGUGCCUAAAUACUCUUUUCAUUGUCUAGCUUCUGACUGUUAACACUACACGUGCUGCAACUCACCUGCCUUUUGCACUACUUUGCUGUGGUGUGAGCUUUAAUACUACAAUUCCAAAUUAUUUCCCAAACAGCACAACGCAGCGUGGGCUUUUUUCCCUCUACCACCUCAAAUACGCUGGCAGUAUCAGGUAAUUGCCUUGCAGCUUAAACUACCCGAGAUUUGUAACCAGUAUCUCCUAAGUAUCUUGAUUUUAGCAGCACCCAGAAUGUGGCCUAAUUAAUUUUCAGCCAGCUGCACAGCUUCUCAGAGCUGUUUCAGGAGAAGAGGUGAUUAAUUAUGACCCCAAUUUUGUGCAAUACAGACUUUUAGCUAAAGGAAUUGAAAAGCUCAGCUAUUCAAGUCAGUAACAAUUUAAUUUGGUUUAUACAUGUCAGUAAUAUGUGUGUGUUUAUAAAUAUACCCUGUAUUUAAUAAACAGUGUAUUAUGCAAA